GGGUCAGUAGGUUGGUCGUGCCACCGGUACGUACUGGUCUCACUGAUUCCUCCUUCCUGAAGAACCGUAAUGCCAUUAAUUUGGUGUUGCGGGGAAACAGGACUGUUUCUUUGAAAAAAUUAGAAUGUUUAAAGCAAGCUAACGCUUGAAUACAUUAGCAUGGAAUGAUGAAAUAGGACGAUCGAUCCUAUUUUGUUGGUUUCUAGGAUUGACGUA
rnacentral:rRNA from 1 species